rnacentral:rRNA from 1 species
CACGUAGGCACCAAGCGUUGUCCGGAUUUAUUGGGCGUAAAGAGCUCGUAGGCGGUUCGGUAAGUCGGGUGUGAAAGCCCCGGGCUCAACCUGGGAAUUGCAUUCGAGACUGAAUAGCUAGGGUACGGUAGAGGGAAGUGGAAUUCCGAGUGUAGAGGUGAAAUUCGUAGAUAUUCGGAAGAACACCAGUGGCGAAGGCGGCCAACUGGUCCGGUACUGACGCUGAGGUGCGAAAGCGUGGGGAGCAAACAGG